AAUCACUACAUUUUGAGAAUAUUGCAUUCAUCGGGACCUAAGAGGAAGCAGCGAGAGAGGCAAGAAAAAAAUCAUAAUCCUGGUGAGCAGCAGACAGUGACAAGAAAAAAUAAGAAGGAAUAUCAGAAUAAAACCAGAACCUGAAGAGGAUGCUCCAGCAUAGAUACAUUGGUACCUCAGUCCCAACCUCUCUCAUCAAGGCCAUAGGAGCCCUACUGGCACAAACCAUCUGCCAAGCAAUGGAAAUACUCACUCUUUCAAAUGGGAGGUGGAAAAAUUGAAACUUGCUUAUGAUGAUUUUGAAGAGUGGAGAAAGGCAUAAUUUAAUUACCAAGGAAUCUGAUCUGCAUGGAAAACCACUUACCCAGCAUCUGCUGCUUCUGCUGCUCUGAUCCCCAUGAGAAGCAUCAGGAAGUGAAGCAAAGUCACAUGAGAACACUAAGUUCUUGUGGGAAUUCAAUAUAAAAUAGUUAAAAAAAAAAAACUGUGCAGGGGAUCAGGAACGAAAAAUUAUGGGAACACGGUGAAAGCAGUUCCAAUCAGUCAGUGUGGGUGAAAUUUAAUGGCAGGGCUUCUAAAUUUGUUUGACGAUAUGCAAGUUUCCCUGUACUUACAUCACACAAAUGUAAAACAACAAGCUUAGUUUACUCACUCUUUUUUGUAACCCUGCGAUCUGUUUUCUUGUUUCAACAUCUUUUCCUCCUGAUUCUAGAAAUUUCCUGUAUGCCAGGUCAAAUGCUUGGCCAAUUGUUAAAGUGAUCUCUUCAGCCUGUGUAAAAAUCAAACAAAGAUUUGCAUUUUAAUAAUAUGUCAAACUGUUUUUGAAUCGAGAAAACAACAUUCAUAUAAGCACUUACUCCAAGACAUUCACAAGAGGUACUUCAAAAGGGCAACAGUUGGGAGUAGAGAUGUAUUAAAUGAGCAAGGUAGUAGGCUAAUGUAAUAACUCAACACCUACCCAGGCACAACAUUGAAAAAACAAGCGGACUUGGGGGUGGGUAUUACUGAAUAGCUGUUGAAGUGGGAAAGUUGGAAGCAAGAGUUCUUUAUGUCAAACUUCUCAUCUCUUUUAUUGUAUUGUUUUUUCCUACUUGUUUUUCUCCCUUUCUCAAAUAUUUAGUGCCUAUGAAAUGAAAGCAGAGUGCCAAAUGUAGUUUCUCUCCUUGCUUUGCUAUUUAUUUCCUUUUCCUUGUGAGGAGGGUUUGUUAAACCCUAAGCAGGUAACUUGAAUGAGGCUGGCCAGGUGGUGUCUCUGGAAAACUUGAGGUAUGCCCUCUAAAUGGAACACCUGCUACUCUGUCCCAGUUAAUUGUUGCCUGGUGGAAGUGAGCAAUUCCAAUCUGAAACUGUCAGAUCUUAUGUAUGAAAGAUGAGGCCAGAAGUCUGAAAUUUUAUAUGAGAGCUCCCAAUUUUAAGCGAUGGUAAACAGUUUGUAUUUUGGUAAAACACAGUGCCAGUGAUCAAAAUAUAUAUGUCAUCUGAAUUUGGGCUUGUAAACAACUUACAAUCUCAGAUCUAUUGAUUUGAAACUGCCACAAAUAUAUCUUACAUCCACAAGCUCAUUUCUUCUCCAUUCAUAUCUCCACUGAAUUCAUAAUGUCUUGCACAUAGUAAAGACUAAAGAUUUAUUUACUUAAUCAACAUUAUAAAGAAUUUUGGUAAAGGCAUCAAUAAGAUUUAAUGUUGUCACAAUUAUGUCAUAUUUAGUAAGACCUCCAGAUAACAAGAAGACUAGUAGUAAUAUAUAUUGAAAAUGCUAUGCUUUAACUCUACUACAAAUUCUAAUAAUUUAUUAUCUACUGUGAUCAACAUAAAAUGAAAACAUGCUUUGUUAAUCAUCUUAUAUCAUUUAAUAGAAUUUUUAUAGUUCAUUAUUUAAGGAGGGUUUUAGACAAAAAUAUAGUAUUUAACCUAGUUAACUAAAAAAUGCAAAAUAUGUACAUAAUAUUUUAAAGGAAGACUGUUUUACAAAAGAAAAGAAAAAAGACAAGAAAGUAAACAACGAGCUAUAAUAAAAACUACCAAAUAAAUGAAAAUGACAGAUACCAAUGUAUGCAUGUUCAUUGACUUAAACUAAUUGGUUGUGUUAGAUAUUAAGAUUAUUUGUAAUAUUAAAGAAGUGGUUUUGAUAGAUUGUGGGAUUAUGAAUAAUUUGUUUUCUGUUUCUCAUUUCAAAACUUUGGGUAAUAGGUUUCUGUUUAUUUUACAAUAAAAAGACGUUUUUCUUCUUCUUUUUAAAAAUUUCUUCCAAAACAAAAUGGGAUACAUGUGCAGAAUGUGCAGGUUAGUUAUACAGUAUACGUGUGCCAUGGUGGUUUGCUGCACCUAUUGACCCAUCCUCUAAGUUCCCUCCCCUCGCCUCCCACCCCCUAAUGGGUCCUGGUGUGUGUUGUUCCCCUCUCUGUGUCCAUGUGUUCUCAUUGUUCAACUCCCACUUCUGGGUGAGAACAUGUGGUGUUUGGUUUUCUGUUCCUGUGUUAGUUUGCUAAGGAUGAUAGCUUCCAGCUUCAUCCAUGUCCCUGCAAAGGACAUUAUCUCAUUCCUUUUUAUGGCUGCAGAGUAUUCCAUGGGAUAUGGGAUAUAUGUACCACCUUUUCUUUAUCCAAUCUAUCAUUGAUGGGCAUUUGGGUUGGUUCCAAGUCUUUGCUAUUGGAAAUAGUGCUGCAAUAAACAUACGCGUGCAUUUGUCUUUAUAGUAGCAUGAUUUGUAUUCCUUUGGGUAUAUACCCAGUAAUGAGAUCUCUGGGUCAAAUGGUAGUUCUAGUUCUAGAUCCUUGAGGAAUCGCCACACUGUCUUCCACAAUAACUGAACUAAUUUACAUCCCCACCAACAGUGUAAAAACAUUUAUAUUUCUCCACAGCCUUGCCAGCAUCUAUUUUUUCCUGACUUUUUAAUAAUCACCCUUCUGACUGGUGUGAGAUGGUACCUCAUUGUGGUUUUGAUUUGCAUUUCUCUGAUGAUCAGUGAUGUUGAGUUUUUUUUUCAUAUGCUUCUUGGCUGCAUAAAUGUCUUCUUUUGAGAAGUGUCUCUUCAUAUCCUUUGCCCGCUUUGUGAUGGGGUUGUUUUUUUCUUAUAAAUAAGUUUAAGUUCCUUGCAAAUUCUGGAUAUUAGACCUUUGUCAGAUGGUUGGAUUUUUAAUUAUAGGUUGCUUCCCUUCUAAAUUAUGAUUUCGAUGUAUCCUUCCCCUUUUUUUUUUUUUUUUUUUUUUUUUUGAGAUGGAGUCUCACUCAGCUACCCAGGCUGGAGUGCAGUGGCGCAAUCUCAGCUCACUGCAACCUCCACUCCCGAGUUCAAGAGAUUCUCCUGUCUCAGCUUCCUGAGUAGCUGGGACUACAGGCACGCACCACCACACCCAGCUAAUUUUUUUUAUUUUUAUAGAGACUGGGUUUCACCACGUUAGCCAGGCUGGUCUUGAACUCCUGACCACAGGUGAUCCACCCGCCUUGGCCUCCCAAAGUGUCGAUGUAUCCUUUUAACGAGACAUUAUGUUAUCUUUAAAUACUCAAUUUGUACAUUAUAAAGAAUCAUUUAAAUGGUAACAUUAUUAAUUAUUCAUUAAUGACAUUUGGCCUCAUAUUAUUUAUUUAUAUUAAUAACUUUAAAAAACCAUGUUCUCAUUUUAUAAUAACAUCUUUACUAGGCACUUAGCUGUCUAGUAAAUAUUCUGCAUAUAUUAUCUUACUUGAUUCUCAUCAUGGCUCUGAAGUAAGGAUUAUUAUUACCCCACAAUACAUAUGAUGAAACUGCAAUUUUGUAAAGUUGUAUAACUUGCCUAAAGCUAGUGAAUGGAGAAACUGAAUUUAAAUCCAGAUUUCUGACUCUCCAACCAUCACAUUUUUGGAGGUGGGGGGUAAAAUUUAUAUACAAUGAAAUGCACAGAUCAUGAUAAAUUUAUGAAUCAUAUAAGAUAUAUAAUCUCCAACUUAUUAAAAAUAAAGAAUAUUUCUAGCCCACCAGAAUGUCUCUUAUGCCUACUUUCAGUCAAAUCUCAUCUAUUAUGGGUGACGAUUCUUCAAUUUUUAUCAUUAUAAAUCAGUUUUGCCUGUCCUUGAUAUCUAUAAAAAUAGACUAAUAUGUAUUAUUUUGUGUCUGUAUUCUUCUACUAAAUUAAAGUUUCUGAGUUUCAUACGUGUUGUACUUAUCAAUAACACAUUGGUUUUGUUGCUGAUUAGCAUUUCAUGUUACAAAUAUACCACAAGUGAUUUAUCCAUUGUACUAUGGAUGGACAUUCAUGGUUUUGUCAGUUCUUAGUUAUUAGACAUGAAACUACCACAAACAUUCUUCUAAGAUCUUUUUGUAGACAUAUGUUUUCUUGUCUCUUGGUAAAUAUCUAGAAUGUAACUGUUAAAUCAUGGGAGGUUUAACAUUAUAAGAAACUGUGCAACUGUUUUCCAAAGUAAUAAUAUAAUUUUGCAUUUCCACCAGCAGUUAAGAGAGUUCUCAUUAUGUCACAUUCUCAGAAACAAGAUAUUGACAGUCUUUUUCAUUUGAGACAAUAUAUUGGAUGAGUGAUGCUAUAGUAAUGUGUUUUAAAUUUAUAUUUCCCUGUUGAAUAAUAAUAUUGCUCAGUUUCGUGUGUUCAUUGCCUCUUUUAUGUUCUCUUUAAUAAACUAACUCCCUGUAGAAGUCUACUGCCCACUUUUAUUAGGUGUUUUGUCUUUUUAUUUGUGAUUUUUAGGAGUUUUUUAUAUAGUCUGGAUACAGAUCCUUUUUCAGAUACACGUAUUGGGAAUAUAGCCACUUGCUUUUUCAGUUUGCUGAUAGUGUUUAUAGAUUAACAGAAAAUGUUUUAUUUUUGAUAAAGUCCAUUGUAUCCUUUUUUUGUUCAUGUGUAGUGCUUUUGGGGUCAUUUCCAGGAAAUCACUAUCCAUCCAAAGUUCAUAAUGACAUUCUAUGUUUUUUAAUGAAAGUUACGUAUAAGAUUACAAAAGCUUCUACUUUUAUGUCUAUGAUCCACCUCAAAUAGUUUUAUGUAGCGUAAGUAGGAGAUAAUUUUCAUAAUUUUUUCCCAUAUAUUUAGCUAGUUAUUUCAAAACCAUUUGUCAAAAAGACUUUCUUUUUUCCAUUGAAUUUUUUGUCACAUUUGUGGGAAAAAAAAUUAACCAUGUAUGUAUGGAUAUUUCUAAACUCUACAAUACAGUUCAUUUAUUAUUAUUACAUUAAUAUCACCCUGACUUGAUAAGAGUUUAAGGUAAGUUCUGACAUCAGGUAUGCUUGCCCAGAUUUUGGUCUUCUCUCUCAAAAUUAAUUUGUUUUUGUUCUAGGUAAUUUACAUUACCUUAUUAGAAAUAACUUUUCAGUUUUUACUAACAAUCCCAUUGUGAUUUUAAUCAGAAUUGUAUUGAAUCCAUGGAUCGAUCAAUUUGGUAGAAUUAACCACAAUUAAACUGAGCCUUCCAAUCUAUAAACAUGGUAUCUUUCUCCCAUUAUUUUAGGUCUUUUUUACUUACAUCAAUACUUUGAAGAUUUCAGUAUAGAGGGCUUGCAUAUUUUUAAAAUUCUCAUUAUUUCAUGUUUCCUGAUGCUACGGUAAAUACAUUUUUCUUUCUUUCUUUUUGCUAGUAGACAGACACAAUUUAAUUUUGUACAUUGAUUUGUAAGCUUUGUUUUUGCUAAAUUUGUUUCAUAAAUCUAGUGGUUGUAGAUCUCAGCAAUUUUUAUGUAAAAAAGUUGAUAUUAUAUAUGUGAAAAAAGACAAUUUUUUCCUAUUUCUUUCCAAUCCUUGUGCCCUUCCUCUCCAUCUAUUCACUAGCUAAGGCACCUAAUACCACGUUAAAUAGGUAGUAAGAAUGGACAUCCUUGCAUUGUUCCCAGUCUUAGAAGGAAAGCAUUCAAUAAUUUACCAUUAAUUAUGAUGUUACCUGUAGAACUUUUAAAGUUUUUAUCAGAAAAACAAUGUCUCUUCUAUUCCUAGCAUGCUAUAAAUUUUAUCAGCAAUGGGUUAAAUUUUGUCUAGUGGCUUUUCUGUACUUGCUGAAACUACUGUGUUAUUAUUCUGUUAAGAUGUUGUAUUACGUUGAUUGAUUUUUCUUAUGUUAAACCAAACUUGAAUUCCUGGGAUAAACCUCACCUGGUAAUAAUGUACUAUCUAUUUUAUAUAUUGCUGGACUCGAUUUGGAAUUAUUUUGCAAAAGAGUGUUAAGUCUAUGUCAUAAGAAACACUGGAACAUAAUUUUCAUUUUUUGUAAGGUCUUUGUCAUGUUUUCAAUCAGGGUAACACAGUCUUCAUAAAAUGAUUUGGAACUGUAACUUUAUUCUCUUAAUUCUGAAAAGGUUUAUGUAUAAUUGGUAUUUUAAAAAGAAAU
rnacentral:lncRNA from 1 species